UAACACAUGCAAGUCGAGGGGCAGCAUGGUCUUAUCUUGCUAAGGCCGAUGGCGACCGGCGCACGGGUGAGUAACACGUAUCCAACCUGCCGUCUACUCUUGGACAGCCUUCUGAAAGGAAGAUUAAUACAAGAUGGCAUCAUGAGUCCGCAUGUUCACAUGAUUAAAGGUAUUCCGGUAGACGAUGGGGAUGCGUUCCAUUAGAUAGUAGGCGGGGUAACGGCCCACCUAGUCUUCGAUGGAUAGGGGUUCUGAGAGGAAGGUCCCCCACAUUGGAACUGAGACACGGUCCAAACUCCUACGGGAGGCAGCAGUGAGGAAUAUUGGUCAAUGGGCGAGAGCCUGAACCAGCCAAGUAGCGUGAAGGAUGACUGCCCUAUGGGUUGUAAACUUCUUUUAUAAAGGAAUAAAGUCGGGUAUGGAUACCCGUUUGCAUGUACUUUAUGAAUAAGGAUCGGCUAACUCCGUGCCAGCAGCCGCGGUAAUACGGAGGAUCCGAGCGUUAUCCGGAUUUAUUGGGUUUAAAGGGAGCGUAGAUGGAUGUUUAAGUCAGUUGUGAAAGUUUGCGGCUCAACCGUAAAAUUGCAGUUGAUACUGGAUAUCUUGAGUGCAGUUGAGGCAGGCGGAAUUCGUGGUGUAGCGGUGAAAUGCUUAGAUAUCACGAAGAACUCCGAUUGCGAAGGCAGCCUGCUAAGCUGCAACUGACAUUGAGGCUCGAAAGUGUGGGUAUCAAACAGGAUUAGAUACCCUGGUAGUCCACACGGUAAACGAUGAAUACUCGCUGUUUGCGAUAUACUGCAAGCGGCCAAGCGAAAGCGUUAAGUAUUCCACCUGGGGAGUACGCCGGCAACGGUGAAACUCAAAGGAAUUGACGGGGGCCCGCACAAGCGGAGGAACAUGUGGUUUAGUUCGAUGAUACGCGAGGAACCUUACCCGGGCUUAAAUUGCAGAUGAAUUACGGUGAAAGCCGUAAGCCGCAAGGCAUCUGUGAAGGUGCUGCAUGGUUGUCGUCAGCUCGUGCCGUGAGGUGUCGGCUUAAGUGCCAUAACGAGCGCAACCCUUGUUGUCAGUUACUAACAGGUUCCGCUGAGGACUCUGACAAGACUGCCAUCGUAAGAUGUGAGGAAGGUGGGGAUGACGUCAAAUCAGCACGGCCCUUACGUCCGGGGCUACACACGUGUUACAAUGGGGGGUACAGAGGGCCGCUACCACGCGAGUGGAUGCCAAUCCCCAAAACCUCUCUCAGUUCGGACUGGAGUCUGCAACCCGACUCCACGAAGCUGGAUUCGCUAGUAAUCGCGCAUCAGCCACGGCGCGGUGAAUACGUUCCCGGGCCUUGUACACACCGCCCGUCAAGCCAUGGGAGCCGGGGGUACCUGAAGUGCGUAACCGCGAGGAGCGCCCUAGGGUAAAACUGGUGACUGGGGCUAAGUCG
rnacentral:rRNA from 1 species